rnacentral:rRNA from 1 species
CCUACGGGUGGCAGCAGUGGGGAAUAUUGCACAAUGGGGGAAACCCUGAUGCAGCGACGCCGCGUGAGGGAAGAAGGAAUUCGUUUUGUAAAGCUCUAUCAGCAGGGAAGAAAAGGCCGUUACCUAAGUAAGAAUCCCCGGCUAACUCCGGGCCAGCAGCCGCGGGAAUACGGAGGGGGAAAGCGUUAUCCGGAUUUACUGGGUGUAAGGGGAGCGUAGACGGCAGUGCAGGUCUGGAGUGAAAGGCGGGGGCUCAACCCCCGGACUGCUCUGGAAACUGUACGGCUGGAGUGCAGGAGAGGUAAGUGGAAUUCCUAGUGUAGCGGUGAAAUGCGUAGAUAUUAGGAGGAACACCAGUGGCGAAGGCGGCUUACUGGACUGUAACUGACGUUGAGGCGCGAAAGCGUGGGGAGCAAACAGGAUUAGAUACCCUUGUAGUC